GAUGAACGCUAGCGGCAGGCCUAAUACAUGCAAGUCGAACGGGAUCCAGAUCAAAGCUUGCUUUGGUUUGGUGAGAGUGGCGCACGGGUGCGUAACGCGUGAGCAACCUACCCUUGUCAGGGGGAUAGCCCGGCGAAAGUCGGAUUAAUACCGCAUGACAUCAUUGAGAGGCAUCUUUCGAUGAUCAAAGAUUUAUCGGACAAGGAUGGGCUCGCGUGACAUUAGCUAGUUGGUAAGGUAACGGCUUACCAAGGCUACGAUGUCUAGGGGCUCUGAGAGGAGAAUCCCCCACACUGGUACUGAGACACGGACCAGACUCCUACGGGAGGCAGCAGUAAGGAAUAUUGGUCAAUGGACGGAAGCCUGAACCAGCCAUGCCGCGUGCAGGAAGACGGCCCUAUGGGUUGUAAACUGCUUUUAUACGGGAACAAACGUCGGUACGUGUACCGGUCUGAGUGUACCGUAAGAAUAAGGAUCGGCUAACUCCGUG
rnacentral:rRNA from 1 species